rnacentral:rRNA from 1 species
GAUUCAACGCCGGAAAACUCACCAUGACCGACGGACAUAUGAAAGCCAGUGUAACGAGCUUGCUGGAUUGUUCGAGAGGUAUUGCAUGGCCGCCGUCAGUUCGUACCGCAAGGCGUUCUGUUAAGUCAGAUAACGAACGAGACCCUCAUCCCUAUUUGCCAAGGUCUGUCCGCAGAUCACGGGACUAUAGGGAGACCGCUGGCGCGAAGUCAGAGGAAGGCGAGGGCAACGGUAGGUCAGUAUGAUCCGAAUGUCAUGGGCUACACGCGCAAUACAAAGGACGGGACAAUGGGCUGCUACUCCGAGAGGAAGAAGCUAUCCCGAAACCCGUUCGUAGUUCGGAUUGGGGGCUGUAACCCGCCCCCAUGAAGCUGGAUUAGGUAGUAAUCGCGUCUCAAAAAGGCGCGGUGAAUAUGCCCCUGCUCCUUGCACACACCGCCCGUCAAACCAUCUUAGUUGUGGGUGGGUGAGGCUACCUUGAUAAUGGGGUAUUCGAGCCUGCCUUCGACAAGGAGGGUUAAGUCGUAACAAGGUAUCUGUA